GGUUGUUAAUGAAUUUAUCAGGAACAGAGAAGGCAGCCACUGCCUGGUGCCAUGUGUGUCGGCGAGGGGGGACAGAGCAGAUGCAAAGUGACCCUGCCAAGGAGGGACCGAGAUCAAGGGGCUCCGCUCCGCACGGCAGGGAGGGAGAAGCAUCUGUGCGAACACCCGGAGAGCUGAGCCUCGGUCCCCAGGCUUCUUGGGGAAGGCAGACCCGACAGGUCCGCAGGAAGCGCUGUGGAUGGUGGCGCUGGGCGGCUGCACUUCCGCAGCAGAAAACUAACUGGUGGAAGCAGGCCAGCGCUGUUGUCGUCAGGGCAGCGAACAGAGCCCCCAAAGCGAGGAGAGUCCGACGUCCCUCCUGUAGAUGCUGGUACAGUUGUUCUGGACAGAGAGGAUACUGCUAAAGGAGCAGGGAGGGUCCUGCUGGUGCGGAAAGAGGUGGCAGGAGUUGCUAGUUGGUCUUUUUUUUUUAAUUGUAGUUUUGUAACCGAGCCACCUACCAACAGACGACGUUCUCUGAUAAGUAUGAGAGAGAAUAUUAGAUGCUUCGGUAACAGAAAACUGUCUUUGGAUGAUACUGCUUUGGUGAAUAAGUGUACACAAAUAAGCCCGGCAGGAUAGUUGGGGACACACUACCAGAACACCCAGGUGACGGUUUCAAUCCCAAUUGAGGCUUGCAGGGCUUUUUAGGUGAAUGAACAGG